rnacentral:rRNA from 1 species
GGAGUAAUGUCUAGGAAACGUCCCGAUGGAGGGGGAUAACUACUGGAAACGGUAGCUAAUACCGCAUAACGUCGCAAGACCAAAGAGGGGGACCUUCGGGCCUCUUGCCAUCGGAUGUGCCCAGAUGGGAUUAGCUAGUAGGUGGGGUAACGGCUCACCUAGGCGACGAUCCCUAGCUGGUCUGAGAGGAUGACCAGCCACACUGGAACUGAGACACGGUCCAG